rnacentral:lncRNA from 1 species
GAGGCCUGCCCAUUUUCCUCAAGAGAAGAUGCAACAGAGGUUUUCCUGAAGUGCUUAGACACUGACAUUUUGGAACCAGUGUUGAACGGUGCAUCAGUUGCCAUCCUCACCAUCCUACAAGAUGACGAUGCUGAUACGUCUGUGCGAGAACAUGCAGUUGUGUUGGAAGGGGACAUCGUGCUACAUAACAUUCCAGAUCUCUCUACUGCCCUGGCACACCUCUUUGGCCUUCUGUAUGCCCUCAACAUUGAUUAUCCAAAGCAGAUGAGUUUUACCUUUGAAGCAAUUCAGGCCAUCUUAUUUUGGCCUGGUCGGACAAUAUGAAGGUGAAGUGGAUAAAUCAUUAUUCGAAAUGUAAAUUUUAGUCAGAUGAAUCUGUAUUGUUGAGAAUAUAUGGUGAAAAUUUGUCUUGUAGUAUUUUAAAAGAUUUGUUAUAGUGUUAGUUUCCUCUUCAUUGAUGGUAACAUUUCUAAGAACUUUUAACUUCCAUAGUUCAUCAUAGUAAGCCUGUGUAAAAUGUCAAUGUCUGGGUGCAUAGGCAAUCGUUUGUAGCACUACCCUAUUUAAUGUGCAAUAGUUAUGUUCAGCUUUUACAAGACGGUCAGGGUGUGUGUGCAUGAAUUAUUAAGUUGCUGGACACUUUUCUUUUUUGGUUCUGGACUCUAGAAUUUUAACGUCUCUGCUGGGGUGCUCAAAGCACCCAAAAGAAACUGGCAACACGUUUUUGUUUGUUUAUUUCUUUUCUUUCUUUCUUUUUGUUUUUUUUAACAGAAAUUCACCCUACUACCCAUGACAUUCUGAAAUGUACUGAAAAGACUGUUGAACAAAAUAAAUAAGCUUUUAGAUAACAUUGAAUUGUGCUUUGUUUUAUUCUAUAUCUAUUUAUUAAGUGUUUUUUCAAGUAUAAUAACAACAUACAUUUUCCUUUGUUUAUAUAGGUAAAUUUUCAACUCACUGGAGUAAGAAUUGUAUGAUUACUCAACAAGAAUAUCUGUGUUUGGUGAAGGCAGAAAUACAUGGCAUUGAAACCAGAAUUUCUUCGUUAGACUUCCAGGAUUAUCCUAAUUAGGUGAACAAGGAGAUCCAAGUUGGCAGAACUUGUAAAUCUUAGUUGAGUCAACAGCAGUUGGCAAAAGUUGAGAAAACUCAAAAAUCUCUUGCAUCAUGUUGCCUUGAAAUUUUACGUUUUCUCAACAUUUUCUUUUUUACAGUGUGGACAUGAACAAACAGCUUACGACAGCAGCUAUCAGCCACUUAUAGUGCAGUCAUGUUAAAACAUGUAACACAGGGUCGCCAGUUUAGCUCAGCGAGACGAGCAGGCGACCACAUUAAUAUUAUUAAUUAUUAAUACGUUAUUAAUAAAUAUUAGCAAGUUCAGUCAGUUCAGGAAGCAGGCAUACAGAAGGCCAGAUAGUGGGCGAACGUCUGAGCAGACACAAAAGUAUAAGACAAUGUCAAUAAAAAGAUUCAGGAAUAAUCCCGUUCCAUAUACGUUACCUUGGUUAUAUUGUAGCUCACAGUACAUUAUUGAAUUUUCAAGUGUUCCCUUACAGUUUGUAAAUAAAGUAUUGUUAUCACGUUUCUCAGUUGUCUCAGUCAGCAUUUGAAUCCGUUUUCCUUUUUCUGCCUUUUGGCCGUGACAAAAACAAAUUUCUGCUUGUUUGCUGAGCCAGAAAUUAAUAACAAGUUGCACUCCCAAUCAAAAGUUUAAGACCACUUGAAAAAUUGAAAAAAAUCAUAUUUUGCAUGGUUGGAUCUUAACAAUGUUGCAAGUAGAGCUUCAACAUGCAACUGGAAGAAAUGGGAGUGAGAGAAAACAUUGUUUUGAGCAUGCAAUUUAUUGAAAACAGCGCCUAACCUGAGACAGGCUGUUUUAAAGCCAAGGUUAUUGAAUAUAGUUUUCACUCACGCUGUCUUACCUCAGUAUUUUUUGUGACUUCUUUUACAGAGACUGUCUCUCUGGCUGAUCAGUUCAAAGACAACUUGGUCCCAGAUAAAGGCUCAAAAUAUUGAGAUCAACCUGAGCGAGGUGAGCUCAAACACAACAAGUAGCAUGACAAAAUGCACAGAUUAGGAAUCAGAUGAUUACUCAGUUUUGUUUGCAUGUUUACACAUUCUCCAUCCUACGUUUUCCUAUGAAUAUAUCAUAAAGAAAGCAGCGUUAAAAACAACUGAGUAUCAAAGAUCUCGUAGUCAAGUACACUCAGGGUGUGGCUGUUCAACA